GUCUACGACCAUGCCACCCUGAACGUGCCAAUCUCCUGUGAUCUCAGAAGCUAAGCAGGGUCUGGCCUGGUUAGUACUUGGAUGGGAGACCACCUAGGAAUACCAGAUGCUUUAGGCG
rnacentral:rRNA from 1 species